rnacentral:rRNA from 1 species
UACAGAGGUCUCAAGCGUUGUUCGGAUUCAUUGGGCGUAAGGGUGCGUAGGUGGCGCCGUAAGUCGGGUGUGAAAUUUCGGAGCUUAACUCCGAAACUGCAUUCGAUACUGCGGUGCUUGAGGACUGGAGAGGAGACUGGAAUUCAUGGUGUAGCAGUGAAAUGCGUAGAGAUCAUGAGGAAGACCAGUGGCGAAGGCGG